AAUAAACCUUUUCUUAGCUUUCAGGAUCUCCUAAGCUGAAAGGGACCCAUUUAAUCCUUUGAGCGGUUAAGAAUAAUUUUAAUAUGGCUGGCUUCCAGGAUGAUGUUUUUAGAGCUUUCUUCCAUCCCGAAACUCUCAUGCCCAAGAUUCCACACUUUCUCAUCUAUGAGACACCCAGAGUUCUCAUCUGCCUCUACCCAGCUAUUUAUCUUUCCUUCCCUUCAGAUGUCUUCUGUGCACUGUUGGCAAGCAGCACGACUUAGAGUGAACUCCAAGAAAUGCGUCACUUGCGUUGUGAUUCUGCCACAUACUAGACAUGUAACCUUGAGCAAGUCACCCGGUCCCCUGUGGUUGUCCAACUAUGUAAAAUCAUGACAAUGAUAUAAAAAAAUUCACUCUAAUAAUACCAGAUAGAUGAUUGGUUAUAUUACUGUUUAGAAACCUAUAAAGAGUCAUGAAAAUAUAA